rnacentral:miRNA from 1 species
AAUGGCGCCCUUCUGAGUAGA